rnacentral:rRNA from 1 species
AGAACGAACGCUGGCGGCAGGCUUAACACAUGCAAGUCGAACGCUCGUAGCAAUACGGGAGUGGCAGACGGGUGAGUAACGCGUGGGAACAUACCCUCCGGUUCGGAAUAGCUCAGGGAAACUUGGAUUAAUACCGGAUACGGCCGAGAGGCGAAAGAUUUAUCGCCGGAGGAUUGGCCCGCGUUCGAUUAGCUAGUUGGUGAGGUAACGGCUCACCAAGGCGAUGAUCGAUAGCUGGUCUGAGAGGAUGAUCAGCCACAUUGGGACUGAGACACGGCCCAAACUCCUACGGGAGGCAGCAGUGGGGAUAUUGGACAAUGGGGGCAACCCUGAUCCAGCAAUGCCGCGUGAGUGAUGAAGGCCUUAGGGUUGUAAAGCUCUUUCGCCCGCGACGAUGAUGACGGUAGCGGGAGAAGGAAGCCCCGGCUAACUUCGUGCCAGCAGCCGC